rnacentral:rRNA from 1 species
GAUGAACGCUAGCGGCAGGCCUAAUACAUGCAAGUCGAACGGACGUAGCAAUACGUUAGUGGCAGACGGGUGAGUAACGCGUGGGAAUAUGCCCUUUAGUUCGGAAUAACUCAGGGAAACUUGAGCUAAUACCGGAUAAGCCCGAGAGGGGAAAGAUUUAUCGCUAAAGGAGUAGCCCGCGUCUGAUUAGCUAGUUGGUGAGGUAAUGGCUCACCAAGGCGACGAUCAAUAGCUGGUCUGAGAGGAUGAUCAGCCACACUGGGACUGAGACACGGCCCAGACUCCUACGGGAGGCAGCAGUGGGGAAUAUUGGACAAUGGGGGCAACCCUGAUCCAGCCAUGCCGCGUGAGUGAUGAAGGCCUUAGGGUUGUAAAACUCUUUUGUCCGGGAAGAUAAUGACUGUACCGGAAGAAUAAGCCCCGGCUAACUUCGUGCCAGCCGCCGCCGUAACAC